rnacentral:rRNA from 1 species
CAGCAGUCGCCACGGUAAUACGAAGGGGGCUAGCGUUGUUCGGAUUUACUGGGCGUAAAGCGCACGUAGGCGGAUCGAUCAGUCAGGGGUGAAAUCCCAGAGCUCAACUCUGGAACUGCCUUUGAUACUGUCGAUCUGGAGUAUGGAAGAGGUGAGUGGAAUUCCGAGUGUAGAGGUGAAAUUCGUAGAUAUUCGGAGGAACACCAGUGGCGAAGGCGGCUCACUGGUCCAUUACUGACGCUGAGGUGCGAAAGCGUGGGGAGCAAACAGGAUUAGAUACCCCAGUAGUCCCUGUCUCUUAUAC